UACGUAGGGUGCUAGCGUUGUUCGGAAUCAUUGGGCGUAAAGCGCGUGUAGGCGGUUAGUUAAGUCGAGUGUGAAAUCCCUGGGCUCAACCGAGGAAGUGCAUUCGAAACUAGCUAGCUAGAAGACGGUAGAGGAAGGUGGAAUUCCAAGUGUAGAGGUGAAAUUCGUAGAUAUCUGGAGGAACACCGGUGGCGAAGGCGGCAUCCUGGACCAACACUGACGCUGAGUGAGCGAAAGCCAGGGGAGCAAACGGG
rnacentral:rRNA from 1 species